rnacentral:ncRNA from 1 species
CCGAGGUUUUGAAACCGAAAACGAAACCGAUGAUGAGGAUGCGGUUGCGGUUUUUGAUUUUUAAAACUGAGGGUAUGCGGUUCCGAUUGCGGUUUUAUCCAAAUCCCGGACCGAAACCGCACCCGCUCUCCCCUAGGCUGAGGAGCAAAAGGAGGAAUCCGCCCGAGGAUCAUGUCUGAUUAUCUAGUUGGUGAGAUGAUAGCUUACCAAGGCGAUGAUCAAUAGCUGGUCCGAGAGGAUGAUCAGCCACACUGGGACUGAGACAUGGCCAAGACUCCUACGGGAGGCAGCAGUGGGGAAUAUUCCGCAAUGGGCGAAAGCCUAAUUUCG